rnacentral:RNase_P_RNA from 2 species
UUGGUACAUCAGAUGAUCGCGGCGCGCGCAAGCGCGCUGAGGAAAGUCCGGGCACUACCCCGCCAAAAUUUUCAUUGAAAACUUAGGCGGGUAAAACGGUAGCGGGUAAUUCCCGUCCACGGCAACGUGAGAGGUGCGAGCAGUGACGGCGUUUUUCGAAAGGAGAACGCAGGCUAGACCCCAAGCAUUUGAUUCAUCAUGUGCUACAGCUUAAUUCCGAUCAGGGGCUCGAAGAUUGGAAAUGAAACGGCUAAAUCCUUACUGGGGUGCAAGGUCAGCGUUGCGUUGCAAGACGCUUCGAAAAGUUAGACCGCUUGAGCCUGUCGGCAACGGCAGGCCUAGAUAAAUGAUCGUCCUCCGCCAGUCGGCGGAACAGAACCCGGCUUACGAUGUGCCAGUCAA